AUGGGCCAGAUUAUGGAAGCUAAUCUAGAUGGGUUGAUUGAUUUGGCUCCUGCUGUUCCUAAGGAUGCCAAUGUUUUGCUUGUUGUGCCACCUGUUUCUUCAAGGUUAUCAGACAAGGGGAAAAGGGUUUUGGACCUAUCAAAUAAGGGGAAAAGGGUUUUGGUCCCAAUACAGGAUCCAAAUGUUCAGAAGUUCCUUACACGCCUGGAAAGGUUAGCUAGGAGUGAAUAUCCUAAGCACCACUAUGUUUAUCCUAUGGCAGGCCUGAAUGAGAAAGUAGAUUUUUUAUGCAAGGCAAAAGAUCUCAUGCAUCACUUGCGAAAAUCCAAGGCUACUGAUUGGGCCCUCGGGCCUUACAAGUCUGUUUUUGGUCCUCUGGAUGCUCAAACCCAGGAUGGGAUGGAGAUUUUAGAUGUCAUGCCACUGUGUAUUGAACCUCCCUCUAGUCCAGUUUGCAAUGCACCUAGUCCUCUUUUGCUCCCCAAAGCCCCUGUCAAAAAAAGGGAU
rnacentral:lncRNA from 1 species